ACUUACUAUCAACCAGGGAGAGUACCUAUAUUUGAUUCUUUAUCGAACAAAUGCCGUGCCUUCCAUGGAGGCUGAAAUUAAACGUCAGAUGAACGGCAGGAAAAUGGUAACAUGUGGUGUAUUUGUUAAAGAAGGCAAUGAUGCUGUACAGAUAGAUGUUUGUGAAAAAACGACACAAUUUGUUCCUAAAGUAAAGUAUCUAUCCAAGUCAGCUGAAAGAACAAUAGGUGUUCAGCAAUCAGACGACGGGUUGCGUUUCGUUAUAACAGUUUUAACUGGUUCAAAUAUAACAGUGGACAUCAAGAGAUCAUCUGUGGACAUGUAUGUUACAUUGUCAAUAAUUGAUCAAGAUCUAAAUCCUCCUGGUGGAAUUUGUGGAAUGUCCACGAAAGGACAAAAUGAGGCGGCGUUUUUUCGAAC